CUCAAGGUGGCGAUCAACGGGUUCGGGCGCAUCGGGCGCAACUUCCUGCGGUGCUGGCACGGGCGCGGCGACAGCUCGCCGCUGGAGGUGAUCGCCAUCAACGACACCGGAGGCGUGAAGCAGGCGUCCCACCUCCUCAAGUACGACUCCACGCUGGGCAUCUUCGACGCGGACGUCAAGCCCGUGGGCGACAACGCCAUCUCCGUGGACGGCAAGGUGAUCAAGGUGGUGUCCGACCGCAACCCCUCCAACCUGCCGUGGGGCGAGAUGGGCAUCGACCUCGUCAUCGAGGGCACCGGCGUCUUCGUCGACCGCGCCGGCGCGGGCAAGCAUCUCGAGGCCGGCGCCAAGAAGGUGCUCAUCACCGCGCCCGGCAAGGGCGACAUCCCCACCUACGUCUGCGGCGUCAACGCCGACCUCUACACCCACGCCGACACCAUCAUCAGCAACGCCUCCUGCACCACCAACUGCCUCGCCCCCUUCGUCAAGGUGCUCGACCAAAAGUUCGG
rnacentral:lncRNA from 1 species